rnacentral:rRNA from 1 species
AACGUAGGGGGCGAGCGUUAUCCGGAUUUACUGGGCGUAAAGCGCACGCAGGCGGCUAAUCAAGUUGGACGUGAAAGCUCCCGGCUUAACUGGGAGAGGUCGUACAAAACUGAUUGGCUUGAGGCUGAGAGAGGAGAGCAGAAUUCCCGGUGUAGUGGUGGAAUGCGUAGAUAUCGGGAGGAAUACCAGUGGCGAAGGCGGCUCUCUGGCUCAGAACUGACGCUGAGGUGCGAAAGCGUGGGGAGCGAACGGG